rnacentral:rRNA from 1 species
UACGAAGGUGGCAAGCGUUGUUCGGAUUUACUGGGCGUACAGGGAGCGUAGGCGGUUGGAUAAGCCCUCCGUGAAAUCUCCAGGCUUAACCUGGAAAGUGCAGAGGGGACUGUUCAGCUAGAGUCCGGAAGAGGAGAGUGGAAUUCCUGGUGUAGCGGUGAAAUGCGCAGAUAUCAGGAAGAACACCUAUGGCGAAGGCAGCUCUCUGGGACGGUACUGACGCUGAGACGCGAAAGCGUGGGGAGCGAACAGG